AUUCAAGGGUGCAGUUUUGGCAAUCACCUCUCUGGCCUCGGGUUGCCAGCCAGUCAGCCAGUGUUUACUGAGCAUCUCCUGGGUGCUCAUUUCUGUAGCAGGUGUUCUGUAAACUUGGCACACGUGUGUGAAGAAAGCAGUUAAUUGACUGCUUGGUGCACUGCUCUGAUGGAAGAGUUCUGACGCUUUGGUGGGCAUUGCCAGGGCAACCGGACCAAGAGUCUCGUCAUUAAUUAAUGCUGCAGCAAUUGCACCCAACCCCUGCUAAACAGAAAAGGAAAUAGGUUGGAAUGAUUUUCUUCUCAGGGGUGGGCUGAAGAGACAUAUGGUUGAAGAGGCUUUAUCCUAUUUUAAAGUUGCUGGGAAAAGAUGGGCAGGAGGCCAAGGCAGGGAGAGUUAGGAUGAAAACAGUCUAUCUCAGAACCAAGCAGAGGACUAGCAGCACAAUAGCUGAGUAUUUCCUUUGGAGAGAAGGAACGCACAGCAUCAGGGGGUCUAUCAUGGGUGCAAGAGAAAUUUGGAGAGACAAGUUGUUCAUCCUUGGUCCUGCCCUGGCUUCACUUCAUACUGACUACUCUGAUGGUUCCAGAUUGCAAUAAUACAUGAAAUCCUGGAGAAUUACUUAUUCCAGCCUUUCUGCCCUCACUCUGGCUAAGCGCAACCAAUAAAAUAAGACCUUGUUAGAA